AUACGUAGGGUGCGAGCGUUGUCCGGAAUUACUGGGCGUAAAGAGCUCGUAGGUGGUUUGUCGCGUCGUCUGUGAAAUUCCGGGGCUUAACUCCGGGCGUGCAGGCGAUACGGGCAUAACUUGAGUACUGUAGGGGAGACUGGAAUUCCUGGUGUAGCGGUGAAAUGCGCAGAUAUCAGGAGGAACACCGGUGGCGAAGGCGGGUCUCUGGGCAGUAACUGACGCUGAGGAGCGAAAGCAUGGGUAGCGAACAGGAUUAGAUACCCUGGUAGGCCAUGCCGUAAACGGUGGGCGCUAGGUGUAGGGGUCUUCCACGACUUCUGUGCCGUAGCUAACGCAUUAAGCGCCCCGCCUGGGGAGUACGGCCGCAAGGCUAAAACUCAAAUGAAUUGACGGG
rnacentral:rRNA from 1 species